rnacentral:rRNA from 1 species
GGCUCAGAUUGAACGCUGGCGGCAGGCCUAACACAUGCAAGUCGAGCGGUAGAGAGAAGCUUGCUUCUCUUGAGAGCGGCGGACGGGUGAGUAAUGCCUAGGAAUCUGCCUAGUGGUGGGGGAUAACGUUCGGAAACGGACGCUAAUACCGCAUACGUCCUACGGGAGAAAGCGGGGGACCUUCGGGCCUCGCGCCAUUAGAUGAGCCUAGGUCGGAUUAGCUAGUUGGUGAGGUAAUGGCUCACCAAGGCGACGAUCCGUAACUGGUCUGAGAGGAUGAUCAGUCACACUGGAACUGAGACACGGUCCAGACUCCUACGGGAGGCAGCAGUGGGGAAUAUUGGACAAUGGGCGAAAGCCUGAUCCAGCCAUGCCGCGUGUGUGAAGAAGGUCUUCGGAUUGUAAAGCACUUUAAGUUGGGAGGAAGGGUAGUAACUUAAUACGUUGCUACUUUGACGUUACCGACAGAAUAAGC